rnacentral:rRNA from 1 species
UGGGGAAUAUUGGACAAUGGGGGGAACCCUGAUCCAGCAAUGCCGCGUGUGUGAAGAAGGCCUGAGGGUUGUAAAGCACUUUCAGUGGGGAGGAGGGUUGCCAGGUUAAGAGCUAGGUGAUUGGACGUUACCCACAGAAGAAGCACCGGCUAACUCCGUGCCAGCAGCCGCGGUAAUACGGAGGGUGCGAGCGUUAAUCGGAAUUACUGGGCGUAAAGGGUGCGUAGGUUGUAUGAUAAGUUAUCUGUGAAAUUCCCGGGCUUAACUUGGGCACUGCAGAUAAUACUGUCAGACUAGAGUAUAGGAGAGGGUAGUGGAAUUUCCGGUGUAGCGGUGAAAUGCGUAGAGAUCGGAAGGAACACCAGUGGCGAAGGCGGCUACCUGGCCUAAUACUGACACU